AAGGACCUAGCUUAAUUAGAAGAGUGUUCGGUUUCCGAAGCCGAAAAGCGUAGGUGCAAUUCCUACGGUCCUUGCCA
rnacentral:tRNA from 1 species